rnacentral:piRNA from 1 species
UACCAUGGUCCCACGAGAUGCUAUGACUAG